rnacentral:rRNA from 1 species
UACGUAGGGGGCGAGCGUUGUCCGGAGUUACUGGGCGUAAAGGGCAUGCAGGCGGUCGGACGCGUUUCGGGUGACAGCGGGUGGCUUAACUACCCGAGUGGUCGAAAGACGGUUUGACUUGAGGACGCGAGAGGGACACGGAAUUCCUGGUGUAGCGGUGAAAUGCGCAGAUAUCAGGAAGAACACCCGUGGCUAAGGCGGCUCUCUAGUACGGUACUGACGCUGAGACGCGAAAGCGUGGGGAGCAAACAGG